AGACAGACAGACAGACAGACAGACCUUACCGCAUGACAGAAAGACAGACAAGGAAAGGAGGGAAAAUCUAAAAACAAGAAAGAAUUGACAAAGGUAGGGUCUUAACACCUCACUCCCCGGCACACAUAAUGUAAGAGACCACCAUUAUCUUUACUUAGAAAGUCUUGAUUCGAGUCUUCGGAGUUAAGGAUCAUUUUUUCAUCGGAAUAAAACUCGUGUGGAUGACCUUUCGGAAAAUUUUUUACACAUGCUAUAAUAACUACACGGGGCAACCGAUCUAUCAAAUUUGCGUUUCAUACUUUUUUCCUGCGACCAAGAAACACAGGUAAGAUGAUUAUGAGUUUUAUCUUUUUAUCUGCAUAUCUGGAGUAUGUGCUUGCAUGAAGAAUGAAAGAAACAUCUAAAGUGUGAGUCUGAUGUGGUUCAGGCAUAAGUAUUUGAGUGUGAAAAUGGGUUGAUACAAUAAUAACUACAUUACGAUUGGAUAAUGAUUGUCAUAAUUAAUUUUUAUCAUUUCUUAUAUAUGUAAAUGCGUAAUUUUUAUUUCAUAAGAAUUAUCAUUUGACAUAUUUCGAGAUUAUCAUCAUCAUUUUUUUUACAUGUCUAUAUAUUUCUGUGUACAAACGUAAAAAUGUGAUAACAUCACAAUAACUGUUUCAUGUAAAAUUUAUGGUGGUUAUGAAAAUUUAAUAUGAUUUUUUAUGUUUGUGAAAUGUUUUAUUCAACAAAUUUAACACUAGGGUAAAGACUAUGAUGAUAUAACAAUUUAGAAAGUGCGAGACCAGGAGUAUGCAGGUAUCUGCGUAUCUCAGCUAUACAGAUUCAGGUACCUGAUUACGAAAUGUUUCAUUAUAUUUGACAUUAGCUGCUACAGGAAACAUUGAAAAGAAGCAGGUUUUCCAGUCACUGUUCUAACCGUUAGGAGGAGACAAGUAUUCGGGGUAUGCAAUAUUACAAUCGUAAUCAAGGAAUCGGUUACUUUUGUCACUGCAACACCUGUCUAGCUCAGUUAAAGACACAGGGCUUUCUGAGUUUUAGUCUCUACUUUUGUGUUCCUGUAUUUUUCUUGAACUAAUAAUUUUAAUCAAUUAACUGAUGCUAAUUUUUAAUGCAUAAAUAUGCAAAGAAGGCGAAAUUUGUUGAUAAGGAGACAAUAAAUAUCACAAUAGUCCUCUCAAAUGUUCUCUUGACGUAGUGAAUCGAGAGGUAAGAAAAGACUUGAUUGUUAUGAAUACCCUUCUUGAUGGAAAUAUAAAAGUUUGUCCAUAAAAAAUUAUCUACUCCUACACUAUAAAUAGUAUAACUUUGCUUAUCAAGAAGCUAAUGGUAUUUGUGAUUGUAAAGAUAAAUACACCUUUUAAUAAAAGUUUUAAAGGUUCUUUUCCAGGAAAAUCUUGUAAUACCUUGCUGGACCAAUAAUGCAAGUGAUUAAAAAUCAGGUGUGUCUAUUCUGUCCCGUAGUCCAUACAGAACAAUAUGGAGAUAUCGGUAGAUACAGGCAAUAUAAACCUAACUUGUAAACUUCAGCCAUUCGAGUUGUUCUUUAAGCUGUGGGUUCUACAAUACAAUUUCAAUAGUGAUUCGGAAACAGUCUGCGGACUAGUAGAUAUGGCCAGGAUUUAAGAACAACCGGAAAAAAACACUGAUCGAAACAUUGAUAUCCCACUGUUCUGAAACCUCAUCUAAAUUGUUCAACUUUUAAAAGUUAUAUCUUUUUCUCUUUCUAAAAUAUAAAAAAUAUAGCGUUUUCACAGCUAACAUGAAUGAAAAGUUAGAUAUUACAAGUGCAAAUGAAACAUGCAUGUAUCAAUCAAAAUAGUUCUGCAGUUGAUCAUAAAAUGAUUGUUGUGAUUAAUGAAAAUAUUGUGGUAAAUGUUUGACAGAAAUUCUCACACAUUUCAUGAAUCAGCAAUGAACAAAAAUCCAGAGAAUACUUUUAAGAAAAUACUACACUCCUUAUACAAUGAAAUAUAUCACUAAAUCUUUUAUUUUAUAUUUUCCCGCUCCCCCGUCUGACUCAUCGAAUGUACAAAAGGCAGAAUAAUACUAGGAUACACUAACAUAUUUUUAAUGUUAGGCAUGGGACACAAUUAUACACUCUUGCACAAACAUGAGCAGACAUUUCUGAAAAAGCAACAAUCAUUAAUUCUAAUUAAUUAACACUGGUCAAGCAAGAGAAGUGAUGGGAGAUACGCGGCGGAUGACUGCAGGCUAGUCAUUCGACAGAGAUUCAAGUGUUUUUUCCUUUGUGUUGACAAAUACGUGUAAUGUGAUAUUUCCGCAAUAUCAGCGAGAGAUAACAGAGGGAACGCUGUUCAAUAAGUCAUUUUGACCAGGAAGAUAAAUUCACGAACCCCUGGGUAGACUCAAAGCCUGGUUUGUGCUUCACAAAGACACAAUUCAGUUGUUUAAGGCAUCGUGAAAGUGUUCUUUUAUUUUCCCGCUUUCAGCUUUUGUGUUCAAUUGCUGCCAAGUAACUCACACUAACAAAAUGAAUUCAAGAAAUAUAAUGCUGCGCCUUUUUAUUACAUGGACUUUCAUGACUCCGUUCUGUAAAGGAUGGUCUCCGAACUGCUCGUAUGCGACUAAUUCAACAACAUGGGUCCUGACCGGUGUCUGUACAGUGGUUAGUGAACAUAAAAGUGGUGGGUGCCAAAUGAAGGCAUCAUCAUACAACCCCCGGGAGAUUACAGACGGCAGACUUAUUCACAAAACAGAGGAAAAACGAUAUUAUUUCUGUAUGGCAGAAAUGGAACUACCUCCUACUAAUGGAUCGUACUUAUAUGAAGUCCAGUUCAGGUGGAGCCAUAACCACUGGCUUCCCGCCUUUACAGUGAUAAUUGAAGACCCAGGGCAGCCGAUCCUGCAAAACUGUUCAGAGGACGUGACAGAAGGAGAGAACGUGAGUUGCGAGUGUUCAUCAGAGCGUGACGGCGAGCCCCAGUCCUUUUAUGGCCAGGACACACCGACUCAUCCAUUUUACAGUUAUAUGACGUCAGAAUCAACAGGACAUACAUGUGCGAGAUGAUCUGGGGCAAAGAAAACAGAACGGUCUCUUACAGCUUACAAAUUAUGACCGACAACCAUGGCUCGAAUACUUCCACCACAUAUGUGGUCCUGGUCAUUGGCGUGGUAGUGGCUUAUAUAGUGUCAUCAUUGUCACCACAGUCGUUGUGACUGUCAUCAUUCGGAGGAAAAAUGUACGGACAAGCACUUCAUCAAACCUCAGGCUUGAUUGGGUUGAACUCAUUGAAAACAGUUGUUAUGGUGACUUCAAUUAGAGAGUUUUUACUUAUUUUUAUCCUAUUUACUGCUUUGAAUACUAUGAGUUCAAAAUAAGAUGCUGACUUGAAAAGUUAAAGUUGUGUAAUUUAUCAAAACUAAAUUUAUGCGCCAAAUAGAGGACACUCCUAGGAAGCAAAUUAUACAAUUUUCAGUAGAAUAAAGCAUAAAAAAACCAC